ACUCAAAUGAAUUGACGGGGACCCGCACAAGCGGUGGAGCAUGUUGUUUAAUUCGAAGCAACGCGAAGAACCUUACCCACACUUGACAUACCUCUUGGGGCUUUCAGAGAUGAUUGCUUUCGGUUCGGCCGGGGAGGAUACAGGUGCUGCAUGGCUGUCGUCAGCUCGUGUCGUGAGAUGUUGGGUUAAGUCCCGCAACGAGCGCAACCCUUAUCGUAUGUUACCAGCAUUUAGUUGGGGACUCAUGCGAGACUGCCGGUGACAAGCCGGAGGAAGGCGGGGACGACGUCAAGUCAUCAUGGCCCUUACGUGUGGGGCUACAAACGUGCUACAAUGGUGGUUACAGUGGGCAGCAAAGUCGCGAGGCUGAGCUAAUCCCUAAAAGCCAUCUCAGUUCAGAUUGUACUCUGCAACUCGAGUACAUGAAGUUGGAAUCGCUAGUAAUCGUGAAUCAGCAUGUCACGGUGAAUACGUUCCCGGGUCUUGUACACACCGCCCGU
rnacentral:rRNA from 1 species